rnacentral:rRNA from 1 species
GCCAUGCAUGUCUAAGUAUAAGUUAUACACAGCGAAACUGCGAAUGGCUCAUUAAAACAGAAAUAAUUUAUUUGAUGAUCUUUUUACAUGGAUAACCGUGGGAAACUGGGGCUAAUACAUGCGUAAAGCCGCAAGGCUGUAUUUAUUAGUUUCAAUCCAAUUUAACAUCGUUAAAUUAGAGGAAUCAUAAUAACUAAUCGGAGCGAUGCAAGUCGCUACAUCAUUCAAGUUUCUGCCCUAUCAGCUUGAUGGUAGUGUAUUGGACUACCAUGGCUAUAACGGGUAACGGAGAAUUGGGGUUCGAUUCCGGAGAAGGAGCCUGAGAAACGGCUACUAUUUCUAAGGAAGGCAGCAGGCGCGUAAAUUACCCAAUCCUGAUUCAGGGAGGUAGUUAAUGGAAAUAACUAGUUCGUCUCAUUGAGAUUUGAACUUGUAAUGAGUUGAAUUUAGAUAAUUCUUCGAAUACUAUUGGAGGGCAAGUCUGGUGCCAGCAGCCGCGGUAAUUCCAGCUCCAAUAGCGUAUAUUUAAGUUGUUGCAGUUAAAAAGCUCGUAGUUGGAUUUCGGGUGGGUUGGCUAGGUCCGCCUCUGGUGUGCACUUGGUCGAUCCACCUUCCUGCCGGGGACGGGCUCCUGGGCUUAACUGUCUGGGACUCGGAGUCGGCGAUGUUACUUUGAGUAAAUUAGAGUGUUCAAAGCAAGCCUACGCUCUGAAUAUGUUAGCAUGGAAUAACGCGAUAGGACUCUGGCCUAUCCGUUGGUCUGUGGGACCGGAGUAAUGAUUAAGAGGGACAGUCGGGGG